UCAAAUUCAUUAUGAACACCUAUUGAUGGCGGUGGUCCUAAGGGUGGAGCUAAUUGAGGUUUUGGAAUUCAUGGGUGGUGGAAGGUGUCCAGGGUGGUGGUUCAAUGGAGAGGGGUCAGAGAAGAUGAGAGAAUAGAUAGAAGGGAGGAGAAAAGAGAGAGAGAGAGAGAGAGAGAGAGAGAGAGAGAGAGAGAGAGAGAAAGAAUAUGAGAAAUGAGG
rnacentral:lncRNA from 1 species